rnacentral:rRNA from 1 species
AGAGUUUGAUCCUGGCUCAGGAUGAACGCUAGCGGCAGGCUUAACACAUGCAAGUCGAGGGGCAGCGCGAGGUAGCAAUACUUUGGCGGCGACCGGCGAAAGGGUGCGUAACGCGUGAGCAACUUGCCCGUAUCUGGGUCAUAACCGAUGGAAACGUCGACUAAUUACCCAUAACAACAGAGGCCGCAUGACUUCUGUUUGAAAGAUCCGUCGGAUACGGAUGGGCUCGCGAGACAUUAGCUAGUUGGAGUGGUAACGGCACACCAAGGCUACGAUGUCUAGGGGUUCUGAGAGGAAGGUCCCCCACAUUGGAACUGAGACACGGUCCAAACUCCUACGGGAGGCAGCAGUGAGGAAUAUUGGUCAAUGGACGCAAGUCUGAACCAGCCAUGCCGCGUGAAGGAAUAAGGCCCUAUGGGUCGUAAACUUCUUUUGUGGUGGAGCAAUAAGUCGUACGUGUACGGCGAUGAGAGUACAUCACGAAUAAGCAUCGGCUAACUCCGUGCCAGCAGCCGCGGUAAUACGGAGGAUGCAAGCGUUAUCCGGAUUUAUUGGGUUUAAAGGGUGCGUAGGCUGUGCGGCAAGUCAGGGGUGAAAUACCUGAGCCUAACUCAGGAACUGCCUUUGAUACUGUCGCGCUGGAAUACGGAUGCCGUGGGAGGAAUGAGUAGUGUAGCGGUGAAAUGCAUAGAUAUUACUCAGAACACCGAUUGCGAAGGCAUCUCACGAAUCCGUCAUUGACGCUGAGGCACGAAAGCGUGGGGAUCAAACAGGAUUAGAUACCCUGGUAGUCCACGCAGUAAACGAUGAUAACUAACCGUCGGCGAUACACAGUCGGUGGCCAAGCGAAAGCGAUAAGUUAUCCACCUGGGGAGUACGUUCGCAAGAAUGAAACUCAAAGGAAUUGACGGGGGCCCGCACAAGCGGAGGAACAUGUGGUUUAAUUUGACGCAACGCGAAGAACCUUACCAAGCCUUGACAUUGAUUGCUAUGGAUAGAGAUAUCCAGUUCCUCUUCGGAGGACAAGAAAACAGGUGGUGCACGGCUGUCGUCAGCUCGUGUCGUGAGAUGUUGGGUUAAGUCCCGCAACGAGCGCAACCCCUAUCUUCUGUUACCAGCGAGUUAAGUCGGGGACUCAGGAGAGACUGCCGCAGACAAUGCGGAGGAAGGCGGGGAUGACGUCAAGUCAUCAUGCCCCUUAUGGCUUGGCUACACACGUACUACAAUGGCUCUUAAUAGAGGGAAGCGAAGGAGCAAUCCGGAGCAAACCCCAAAAACAGAGUCCCAGUUCGGAUUGCAGGCUGCAACUCGCCUGCAUGAAGCAGGAAUCGCUAGUAAUCGCAGGUCAGCAUACUGCGGUGAAUACGUUCCCGGGCCUUGUACUCACCGCCCGUCAAG